UUUAGGGCUCAGGGCCCCGCAGCGGACUUCCCGGGCGCCUUCUCCCGACUCGAGGGCCCGAGCGCUGGGAGGCCGGCGGAUUCUCCCAACACCGGAGUUCAGCGCUCGUCCGCGGCAGGUCCGGGCGCGAAGGGGGAGGAUCCUCCGACCGGCGGCGGGCAGCGCAGGUGCCGCGGGGCCGGGCGCCGCCUCCCGGACCGGCCAAGUGCGGGAGCGCACCCGCGAGCCCCGGGAGAGCCUGGCCGCCCCUCGCGGUGACCGCCCAAACCUGCGCAGCCGGCCGUCCCGACCAUGCUCCCUGGUAGCCCAGAUCCUGUCCUAGGUGCUGGGGGUAGAACAGUGACCAAAACAGAAAUAAGUCCAGCCUUCAUGUGGGGAGACAGACAAUAAGCAGGUGGCAGGAAGUCACAAAAUACUGCACAUCCAGUCCCAACAUCAAUCGUGUGAAAUUUCUGAUAGUUUCAACAGACUAUUGUUUACCAAGCCUCCUAAAUCAACGAAUGGAGACAACAGGAGGAAUAUUUUAGAUUCUCAAGAAAAUACGUAUUUGUUUUGAAUGCCUCAUGUUUGUGUGGAAUAUUUGUGUUAAAGAGAGAGGUGGGAGCCAAAUUCUGUAAAGCCCUGUCGGCCAUGGUGAGGAAUUUGGCAACUGAAGCAGGGCAGUGACAUGAUCCUAGAAUGGAAGCAGGAGACCAUGAAGAAUGAACUUUCGAACAGCAAUGAACUUGGCAGCAAUGUCACGAAUGGCCUCCAGCAGAGAUGAGCUCCCAGACACAGGAGUAGGGAUGGGGAGCCCCCUGUCAGGGAUGCUGCAGAGUGAAGUUGGACUCGAGGAGGUAUGCUGAGCAAGACGACUUCUAAGAAUCCAACUUCUGACAUUCUCCCCAGGCCAGCCUCCCCUGCCCCAGCCUCAGAUCUCUAGCCUGGAUCUCUGCAGUGUCCGCAGAGAGGUGGUGCCAAACCGUCUCCCCACUCAGAACCUUCUCGGCACACCUACCCUGCUCUCCUUUUUGUCCUUCGGAUUCUUCAUACCCACAGCAAUGCUCUUGAUAAUAAAUUAUUACAAAUGUGCAACAAG